rnacentral:misc_RNA from 1 species
GAUGAAGAACGUAGCGAAAUGCGAUAAGUAAUGUGAAUUGCAGAAUUCAGUGAAUCAUCGAAUCUUUGAACGCACAUUGCGCCCCUUGGUAUUCCGAGGGGCAUGCCUGUUCGAGCGUCAUUAUAACCCCUCAAGCUCAGCUUGGUGUUGGGGCCUGCUGCACUGGCAGCCCUUAAAGUCAGUGGCGGCGCCAUCUGGCUCUAAGCGUAGUAAUUCUUCUCGCUAUGGAGUCCUGGUGGAUGCUUGCCAUCAACCCCCAAUUUUUCUAUGGUUGACCUCGGAUCAGGUAGGGAUACCCGCUGAACUUAAGCAUAUCAAUAAGCGGAGGA